ensembl:lncRNA
AUGCAAGCCUAUGCUGACUGCUAUCAUCAUACGCUUUCCAAAAAACCACCUCGCUUUGAGGUUGGGGAGUGGAGGUCAUCUAGGUGUGCUUCAGACACGGAGAAGGUGUUGGGAUAUGGCCAGUGGACUGUUAGUCCAGACACCACUGAACAAUUCCAGCCAACUGCUUUAACGUCACAGAAAAAAGACAAAAUUGAGCUCAUUGGGGAACAUCGGUGGAAAUGGAGCCCUUGGAAUUCGAGAAAUACAGAGAGUGUUUUCCCAGUAGGAUCUUUCAGACAGCCUCCAUCCUACAUGGCGCCACCAGCAUACAGCUCCCCGAAGAAUGGUGACAAGAUAGCAGCAAUACCAAAAGUUAUUGGAGAGGCAAGUGUGGACGCAUUUGAGGAGCAGACAUUUGAGAGCAGAAAAGUACCCUUUACAGAUUUCACAGAAACACAUUGUGAUCCUUCAUCAAACGAUGGACAUUAUUUACAAAAAAAUAACCAGAAACAGAACACAGAGAGUUAUCGCAGUGUUAUCACGGAUGGACAACACUGUCUAGGAGACUUAAAUGCAUCCACUGUCAUGCAGUACACAACAAUAAAUACAAAACCCCCUUCAACACAAGCACAGCUUCAGUACCGAGAGUCUCCACACAUGACCCAUCCUGAUAUUACUCGGACGAAGCAGACCAAACUCACAAGAAGAAAAGGUGGCGAGACUGUGUUUUGUCUAGUCUCUCGAAUGGGAGAGGUGUCAGGCUUGUCAAGUUCUCCUGAGGAGCCACUUAAAUCCCACGUGUUACCUCUGUUAACUGAUUGCAAACCGGAUUACAAGGCAAUCACCACUGAGCAGACAAAUUCACCUCAGCACAAUGAUGGCAGCAGACAAAAUCAGGAUGCGUGCUUGAAGAAGGACGAAGCUGUUGGGCAGCUCGACGGAUCCUUAAUGUUUGGAGAGUAUGGGCACACACCCCUAGAUCAAAGAUCCAGUUCUAUCCAGGAUCUGGGUAAUGCAACAGAACCAGAUGAAAAUAAAGAAGAGUUGCAAUGUUAUGUCCAAGUGAAUGACUCAGAGUCAAACUGUUUAGCCCAGAAGUCACCAAUACAGACAGAAGGACAUGAGAAACCAUGCAGGGAAAUCAUAGAGAAAUUCCCAUUGUGGAAAGAGCCAAAAUAUCAGCAUCACUCGACAGGGAUGACAGAGCAAAGAAGCCAGGGGAUAAACGAUGAGCCUGAAGUUAGCAACAACUCAACAAACGACCAACAUCAGAGUCUUGUGAUCAUUGACGCAACCCGUGUUGUAGUCAAAGUUGAGCUUGUACUUCUUCCAGAGAAGGAGCAUGUCCAGUAUGUGUGUUUGACAGAGGAGAGUCCUUCGCCAAGUACUAGAGAGGAGACCGAGGUGCAGAAGCAGCACAGCAGUGUCGUCUCAAGCCAGGAGACUCCUGAAAACAAUACUUUGGACGAGAGAGUAGAAAGGAUUCUUGGAAUACCACAUGAGCAUCCCAGGACAAGCGUACAGACACACGAGAGCAUUUCAGAAGAACAUGACAGCUCCUGUGAGAGUCACAUAGUGGAUCCAGUAAAAGAGUUUGAGGAAUCUCCAUCCGCAGCUGCAACUGUUGAUGACUGGCAAGCACAGGAAAAUAAACUGAUGGUGGGACAUUCCUGGAGUGGGACAACACUGGAGAAUAAUGAAGGCGUAGAAGAAAUGCUCAACAUAAUGGUAGUGGAAGAGCAAACCACUGCACAAGGACCCGAAGCUGUGCUCGAAGACUUUGUGGCUUUCACAAAUGCAAAAUCAGCAUCUGAAAUCACCAUACAUAUGAAUCAAUCCACAGAACAAGGACAUAGACCUGCAUUGGACGACAGUGUGGUUGAGCACAGUAAACAGAAAGAUAAUGAGAACCAUCAAACAGAUACUAGUAAGGACCUUACCGAGGAUAGUUCAACAGAAGACAACCUCUCAGAUGAUAAGCGAGUACUUGCUUCAGAUUUCUUUACACCUGUCCUUAGGAAAAGUGAAGAAAAUUGCAUCAAAGUAGUUUUACCUUCACCUGUGGGUUCCAGGACUCUCAGAAGGUCAAGCUCUUCACCUCAUUUGUCAUUUACCUCUGCUUCCAACACCUUGGAUGUAUCAAAUGUAUCAGCUUCUCUUGUGGUUUCUCACACAGAGAAUGAGCCACUGUUGCUUCCAUCUUUUACUAACACAGAAACCACCCAGUGCUCCGGUUCUCCCCGUGUUCAGUCAAGCUGUACAUCCUCACUCCCCGCUCCUUCUUCUACUCCAGUUCCAGAAGCUUUUGAAAAUUCAUCUCUCCCACAGACAAGAAAUGUUCCUUCUGAUGUUUUACUCUGUACUUCAUUGCCCUGUGAACAAAAAAUACAACAUGCCAAGUCUCUGUGGUACGCGGUAAGUCGUAUACGCAAACACACUGCUCCUGACUCCGAGACAGAGGACGAGGAGACGAUUGAGUUUGGGGAACAAACUGAAAGUGCAGACACUGACUUGAGACUGAACGCAGAAGGAGGAAAAUUGGAGGAUAAUACUUUAGAGAACUGA